AAUGUCACUUCUCAAGAGACCACAAUUUCCUCCAUCAUGCCAUGUUUAGAACAGAAUGUGCCUUGGUGCCCAUUCUCAGGCCCAGUUGGUGGAGUCUGGAGGGGACUUGAGAAGACCAGGAGAGUCCCUCCAUCUCUCCUGCCAAGCCUCUGGAUUCACCUUCAGCAACUAUGGCAUGAACUGGGUGAGACAGGCUCCUGGUAAAGAACUCGAAUGGGUUGCCCGCAUCUAUACUGAUUCCAGUGAGAAGUUCUACUCAGACAAAGUGAAGGGACGCUUCACCAUCUCCAGGGACAAUGCCAAAAGCCAGCUGUAUCUGCAAAUGAACAGCCUCAAACCAGAGGACACGGCAGUCUAUUAUUGUGCUGGCAACACAAUGAGAGGAAGUGAAUCUAUAGCAAAGCAAAAACUUCCAUUUUAA